UGUGAACCGAAAGUAGUUCCUAUGCAGCAGGUAGAUCGCUAUGUGGAAGUACGUGUCCCUCAGGUCAAGGGCAGCAUACCAGUCUCCAGGAUCCAGGAAAGGGAUAAUGGUCCCCAGGGAAACC